rnacentral:piRNA from 1 species
AACAUGGUAGUGAGUCGGAACCCUG